UCGGAUAUGGUGUAACGGCUAACAUUGCUGCCUCUCAUUAUCUGUCAUUACAAAGUGUGUCCGCAGCAGCUCGGGGUUCGAUUCCCCGUAUCCGAA